UGAGGGAACUGGCGGCCAAUCAGGACCUAAUGAAUCUCAACAGCAAUCUGAGUACAGCCAAUCACAUAUUGCAGAGUGAUUAUAGCAAUGUUAGCACUGCAAACCAACGUUUAGCGGCUGAGAAAGAAGAGGUGUCAAGAGAGAGGGAUAGACUGAACUGGAAUCUUCAGGUCAUAUAUCAGCUUGAUGAUUUUCCUGUCAAGAAAUAUUGUUCACAAAAAGAUGGCACAGGAGUUGUUACCUGAUUUUGCACCCUGCCGCUCCAUGGAAGACCUGGACACAAAGCCAACAAUAUUGCAAACAAGAGAAUGCUGAUUUGGCUGUCAUUGGCAGCCAAGAGGAACAGGAAUUCAUUAGUAACCACACUCAACACUACUAUGAUGAACAUCAUGGGUACUGGAUCGGCCUGACUGACAAAGCUAAAGUCGGCCAAUGGCUCUGGGUUAACGGAAGUAAUCAGAA